CUUGGUCAUUUAGAGGAAGUAAAAGACGUAACAUGGUUUUCGGGGCUUCUGCGUCCGUAGGUGAACCUGCGGAAGGAUCAUU
rnacentral:rRNA from 1 species